rnacentral:rRNA from 1 species
AGAGUUUGAUCAUGGCUCAGAUUGAACGCUGGCGGCAGGCCUAACACAUGCAAGUCGAACGGUAACAGGAAACAGCUUGCUGUUUCGCUGACGAGUGGCGGACGGGUGAGUAAUGUCUGGGAAACUGCCUGAUGGAGGGGGAUAACUACUGGAAACGGUAGCUAAUACCGCAUAACGUCGCAAGACCAAAGAGGGGGACCUUCGGGCCUCUUGCCAUCGGAUGUGCCCAGAUGGGAUUAGCUUGUUGGUGGGGUAACGGCUCACCAAGGCGACGAUCCCUAGCUGGUCUGAGAGGAUGACCAGCCACACUGGAACUGAGACACGGUCCAGACUCCUACGGGAGGCAGCAGUGGGGAAUAUUGCACAAUGGGCGCAAGCCUGAUGCAGCCAUGCCGCGUGUAUGAAGAAGGCCUUCGGGUUGUAAAGUACUUUCAGCGGGGAGGAAGGGAGUAAAGUUAAUACCUUUACUCAUUGACGUUACCCGCAGAAGAAGCACCGGCUAACUCCGUGCCAGCAGCCGCGGUAAUACGGAGGGUGCAAGCGUUAAUCGGAAUUACUGGGCGUAAAGCGCACGCAGGCGGUUUGUUAAGUCAGAUGUGAAAUCCCCGGGCUCAACCUGGGAACUGCAUCUGAUACUGGCAAGCUUGAGUCUCGUAGAGGGGGUAGAAUUCCAGGUGUAGCGGUGAAAUGCGUAGAGAUCUGGAGGAAUACCGGUGGCGAAGGCGGCCCCCUGGACGAAGACUGACGCUCAGGUGCGAAAGCGUGGGGAGCAAACAGGAUUAGAUACCCUGGUAGUCCACGCCGUAAACGAUGUCGACUUGGAGGUUGUGCCCUUGAGGCGUGGCUUCCGGAGCUAACGCGUUAAGUCGACCGCCUGGGGAGUACGGCCGCAAGGUUAAAACUCAAAUGAAUUGACGGGGGCCCGCACAAGCGGUGGAGCAUGUGGUUUAAUUCGAUGCAACGCGAAGAACCUUACCUGGUCUUGACAUCCACGGAAGUUUUCAGAGAUGAGAAUGUGCCUUCGGGAACCGUGAGACAGGUGCUGCAUGGCUGUCGUCAGCUCGUGUUGUGAAAUGUUGGGUUAAGUCCCGCAACGAGCGCAACCCUUAUCCUUUGUUGCCAGCGGUCCGGCCGGGAACUCAAAGGAGACUGCCAGUGAUAAACUGGAGGAAGGUGGGGAUGACGUCAAGUCAUCAUGGCCCUUACGACUAGGGCUACACACGUGCUACAAUGGCGCAUACAAAGAGAAGCGACCUCGCGAGAGCAAGCGGACCUCAUAAAGUGCGUCGUAGUCCGGAUUGGAGUCUGCAACUCGACUCCAUGAAGUCGGAAUCGCUAGUAAUCGUGGAUCAGAAUGCCACGGUGAAUACGUUCCCGGGCCUUGUACACACCGCCCGUCACACCAUGGGAGUGGGUUGCAAAAGAAGUAGGUAGCUUAACCUUCGGGAGGGCGCUUACCACUUUGUGAUUCAUGACUGGGGUGAAGUCGUAACAAGGUAACCGUAGGGGAACCUGCGGUUG